UUUAUAUUUUAGCUAAUCAUUCAUAGAAAAUCUUUUUAAUAGCUUUGAACUAUUCACUCAUGUUAAUGUACCAUAUUAGCUAUAUAUUAGGUAGUUUCCUAUUUUCUCUACUAUAAUGGCAUGAGAAUGAACAUUCUAACUUUCAAAGUCUGAUUAUUUUCUUAGUAUAAAAUGCUACAAGAGGAAGGACAAGUCAAAGACUAAAUAGUUCAGGUUUCUUAAUGAACUUUUUAUUGUUAAAAUGUUUUAAAACAUAUGUAUGGGGCCAGGGAUUUAGCUCAGUGGUUCUGCCGCCUGCCUUGCAAGCACAAGGUCCUGAGUUUGAUCCCUGGUACCAAAAAAAAGAAACCCAUAUGUAUAUAUUUGUAGCAUAUAUGGAAAAAAGAGUUCAUGUAUUAACCUUAUAAAAAGGUUAUUUUAAUAUAAUCUUAAAAGAAAACCCUAUAUCUCAGGGGAAAAGGAAGUGACAAUUCAUAAAUACAGUUCAAAUACCAGAAAAGGUUGAAUCUUAUUACUAGUUUUUUUAAAAGCUGAAACUAAAACUUCACAACACCUGUUUUUAAAAAAUUCAUCAGUUUCAUGAAGCUUUGUAAAAAAAAUGAGAGCAGCUGGGCUGGCAAGAAAGGGUGCAGUGAAAUGGAUAUUCCCUCCCAUCUCUUCUGAAAGGAAUAUAAAUUGGUACUACCUUUCUGGAGAGUAGUUUGGUGUGUUUUACUAAAGACAUUCUGCUUGUAGCUCAUUAUCUGCCAUAAAGCCCCUCCACAGAAAUGUUCUGGGGUGUGGGACAAAUGUUUGGUUUUACAGUAAGCCAAGCCAUCUCUAAUCGGGACAUGUGACCAUCUAGGUGCUCUUUAAAUGUUUGACCUGUAUAACUAAUUGAAUCUUCACAACCGUGUAGUCAGGGGCUAUUUAUUAUUCUCAUUCUAUAGAUGACAAAAGGAGGCUAAAGAGGUCAAGUAACUUGCCUAAGAUCAUGCAGUAGGAAAGUAACCAAGCUAGGAUUUAAACCCAGGAAGUCUCACUGUAGCACUCAUGCUCCUAACUUCUGUGACGGGCUGGCUUCCCAUGUGGCAGAACCUGAUAGAGAAGCUAAGACACCUCCCCAGGUCACCCAAGACUGCAAGGGCUUUCUCUUGUCUCUUAGUUUGGGAUUCAUUCAUCCUCUCUAAGACCCACCAUCUGUUGACCUUGGUGUCGAUUCUAGUUUGUCCUGCCUCUAAGACACUGUCUUUGUUUUGAAGCAUCUAAGUUUCAGACAAUAAUAGGAAAAAUAUUUGGUUUAUAAGCAGCAGAAAACUUGCUUUGUACACAGAAGCACUGGUAUGUGUGAUAUAUCCAGUGUGACUGAACACAUACAGGGCUCCUAUGGCUGUGGGUUCCUUGAGUGGGGCACCAGCUGGCCAUAUUUGUGGCUCUCACCACCCCGGGCAGAUUGCAUUGCUGGAACCUUCAGACAAAUGCAAGUGAAGUCCAUUCACAGGUCCCAGCUUUCGUUUUGGCUCCAGGAGCACGCUAAGCACUGUGGGAAAUACAAAAGAGUUAGCAAGUACAGACCCUGCCCUAGAGGACGGCGAGGCUCUUUGGAGCAGCACAGACCCGCACAUACAGUGUGUCAGAAGCAGAUGCCAACGGCAUGAGUGAUGCAGGCCCUGUGCUUUUUCUACCCACUUAUGAGGCUCCUGGGGGUGUGGGGGGGUGUCAGGUAGAGAGGCUUGCUGGAGGAGGUGUCCCCUGAAGUAGGCCUUGGAGGAACAAAUAGACAGAAGACCAGGUGACCUCAGAAAAGGAGCGGUCCAGGCAGGUUGGAUCCAGAGCUGUGUGGAAGGGAGAGGCAGGAUCCAGCCAGAGAAGUUGGGGAGGGAGGGUCCCUACCACAGAGACUUCUGACAGGCAUAGGACUCACAAGGGUCCAUUGUGUGUGUGUGUGUGUGUGUGUGUGUGACUGUGCCCAUGUAAACAGCCACAUUCAGGAGGUAACACGAGCACUUGAACAAGGGAGUGUCAUGGUUAAGGUGAGGUUUGUGUGACACCAAUGAAGUCACAGGUGAUCCCAGUUUUCUGAGCCAUACCAUUUCCUGGCCUCUGAGUAUUUGUAGGCCACCUGUGGGAGGCAGCCCCUAAGAGGUGGUGCCUAGGGAAGAAUGCACACAAGACAUUGGAGCACACAGGAGCCAUGGGGCUAGAGACAGAAAGGGCUACAAGUAUGGGGUGUAUCUUAGCUACUUUUCUCUCAUUGAGACAAAAUACCUGACACCCACAAGUUAAGGGAAGAAAAGUUUAUUUAGCUCGCAGUUUGUAGAGGUUUCAGUCCGUUGGCUCCAAGGCAAGGUGGCGUGGCAGAGGGGAUCGUGAAGGUGAAACAGUUCAUGGCAGGCAGAAGACAGGCGUCAGCAAGGCAUGACCACAGCUCUUUCUGUCCCUUAUAUCUUAUCCAGGCUAAUCGCCCUUCGGGAAGAUAGCACUCACAUCCUUAUUCUAGUAGCAUCACGCGUGAAUCAAUCCCAGCAUCACAUCCUUGAUCCCAGCAGCACAUAUCAUAGAUCCUAGCCACCUCCGAAAAGCCCCACCUAUGACUCCAUGAGGCUUUGGGGAAAAUCUAGAUAUAAGCUGUAACAAGGUGUUCAGCCCAGGGCAAUCUGGUUGUGUUAGAAGAACUAGUUCCAUGUGCUAGGCAGACUGGUGCUGCUCAAUGUGGUAAGCAGCAGAGAGAGGUGAAGGAUAAAAGCAGACCUAGAUGAUGCCCAAGGGUCAGCCAGCACACCACCAUCUGUCCCCCAGCCCUGUCAGCUCCUGACUGUUAACCACAGUGCGCACACCUCCCCGACUGGGCCCACAAUGGGAACAGGCCAGGCACAUCAGCUCCUUUUAAAUGUAGACCAGGACUGAAGGCGCUACCGACAGUGAGGGGCCAAGUUGAGGCCUGCAGUGGCCUGAUGGCCAGCAGAGGUGAGGAGUCCGAGAAGGGACUCUGAGAUCCUAGCCAGCAGCAGGAGCAUGGGAAAGCUGUAGGCACUGAGGGACAGGACGAGCAGUCCAGGGAAGCCACAGGAGGGCCAGCACCAGUGGAGCUGGCUUAGAGUCUAGGGGUAACAGAAACAGAAGGCAACAAGCUCAGCAGGGAUGGGGGCAGGAGCUGUCUCUGGGUCUGUCUUGAGAACAGAAGAGAGAAGAUGGCCUCCAAACUGUGUGAAUUUGAGGGACCACAGCUGGUAGGUUCUGGGAAGAGGCUACUGAUUAAUAUUGAUAUAUUCAUUUAUCCACUGAACAAACAUGUGCAGAGCAGGCACUGUUUUCCAGGAACUGUACUUGCCACUGGAGCCCAAGGAGAAGUCAGUCUCCAGAAACCUGCAGCCCAGUGGGAGGGACAACAUGAGACAGAACCAGGGCAUACAGACAGUGACACCUUCAGCAUGGUGGCGUCCUCCCCACCUGACCUGUGAUAAUAGGGAGGAGCAUUUCUGCUGCUGUCCUAUGGAAGGGGAGGGAACAAGGGGGAUCAAGUGUUUUCUUUCUUUAUUAUUUUCUGUGUGGUUUUUAAUGUAGCAUCUGACAUAUGUAAAAGAAUAUGUGCUAUAUACAUAUAACAGUAAUGGUUGUAGAACAUCACGAAUAUAAUUGUUAAUACAUAUUAACAUAUACUCUAUGUAUGGACUGUAUGUAUAUCUCUUCAUAUAUAUGUGUGAUUAUAUUUUCUACAUAUAUAUGGAAAACUCUCUGUGUAUAUAUAAGAGAGAGCAAGAGAGACUGUGAAUAAUAAAAUAAACUCUUAGGAGGCCAUCCCUCAGUUCACAAAAUGGAACCAAAAGUACUAAACAGCAACUGAGAGUACUAAAGUUCCUUGGCCCCCUUCCUCCAUGGAAUCUCUUUCCUUUUCUCCCCAGAAAUACUCACUAACCUUGAUUUGUGUGGGUAUCAUUCUCUUACUUUUCCUAAUAUUCUUACCGCUUAUGUAGGAUUCUAAAACUUUCAUGGUUCCACAAAAGUUGAAACAGAAUUAUCACAUGACCCUGCAGUUCUACUGCUAGAGCAUGUACCCCAAAGAACUGAAAAGGAGUACUCAGAUACUUGUAUGGAAAUAUUCAUUGCAGCAUUAUUUCUCAUGAACCAAAGGACAAGCAACCCAAAUGUCUAUUAACAAAAAUAGGUAAUAAACAAAAUGUAUUAUUUAUAAAUACUUGGAUGAAUAUUUUUCAGCCAUAAAAAAAUGAAAUUCUGGUAUGUGCUUAAUAUAGAUGAAUCUUGAAAACAUGUGUUAAGUGAAAGAAGCCAGUCACAAAAUGUCAAAAGUGUGAUUCCACUUAUGCAAAAUAUGUACUAGAAUAGGCAAAUUCAUAGAGGCAGAGAGUGGAUCAGGGUUGGAUGGAAGGGGAAAUGAGGAGCUGCUUAACACAUUCAGAGUAUCUCUUCGGAAUGAUGAAAAAGUUUGGGAAUAGUGGUAAUUAUUGUACAGCAUUGUAAAUGCAAUUGUUGCUUCUGAAUCAUUUAUAGUACAUUAUUUUAAAAUGGCUAAAAUAGCAAUUUUGUGAUAUAUAUAUAUAUAUAUAUAUAUAAAUUGGUAGUUUUGCCAGUGUUUGAUCUUUAUGAAAUGAAAUAAGACUUUGUGCAUACCUCUGCAACUAGCUUUUUUUCACUCAGUGUUGUUUCUAUACUAUGUCGAACAGGUUUAGCAGGUUGCUAUAAUUAAGUUCCUUUGACCACUGAAUAAUAUUAUAGGGGAUGAAUAGACUACAAUCUAUUCAUCCAUUUUUUGAUUAGUGGCAUUGGAGAUUUUUCCAACAUUUUUUACUUUUUAAAACCAGUGCUUCCAGCUGAGCAUGGUGGCUCAAACCUGUAAUUCCAGCAUUCUGGGAGGCUGAGCCAGGAGGAUUGCAAGUUCAAGCCCCACCUGUACAACUUAGUGACUUAGCAAGACCCUGUCUCAACAUAAAAAAGAAAAAAUGGCUGAGAAUAUAGCUCAAUGCAAGGGCCCGGUUCAAUCCUCAGUAACCACCCCCCCAAACAAAAAAAUCAAAAACCUGUGUUUCUGGGAAUAUUCAUUCACAUGUCUCUGGGCAUCUAUCCAAGAGUUUCCUUCCUCUACACGUAGGAGCAGAGUUGCUUGGUAGAGGAUGCAUGCAUGUUCAACUUUGUAAAAUAGUGUAAAUUGUUCUCAGAGAGCUCGUAUGCAUUGUCCUCUCCCAGCUGUCGGUCAGGUCUGGUUAUCCUACAUCCUCACCAAGGGUGUGCCACCUUCUCUUGAGCCCCAUCUCCGCCCUGUAACUUGACACUAUCUGUCCACUUACAUCCACACCUACCAUUAUGAUGGUCACUGUCGAGGACAGAACUACUGCCUCCAACUCACCAAAAGAUUCAGGAUUUGAAAAAUGGAAAAGGCCCUUUGUGAGACAUUAUAACCCUUAUUUUACAGAGAAGUAGAUGGAGACCCAGAGUGAAGGGGGACUUGGCCAUGGUCAAGAUGAGUUGAGAGUGGGUUUGUGGAUGAGCUCAUAAUUUGCACAUGUUCUGUGCUUAAGACCCUGGAAGGAAUAUUACACCUAUGAAUUUUCUUGGCUUUCUCCUUGACUUUGAGCCACAUAUAAAAGGCCACGCCCUAGGCCAAGAGGUAGCCCCAGGUGAGGCAAGUGGUGUGGGCUGGCUGAGGCACCUCCUGUGCUCUUCUCUCUUGCCACUCUUUGUAUAGAGUGAGUUCUAGAGGAGGGGCUUCAAGCUCAAGCUUGUCCAGAAACCAAUUUACUCUUUUUUAACUUAUCCUGCUUCUCUUUUGGCUUUCCCAAUAGCUAACCAUGAUGGUCUCCUUUCUGCCUGGUGAAAUUUCACUUUUUUAUGUAUAUUCACAACCCUAUGAAGAGAGGCAGGAUUAUUCUCAUUUAAUAGGUGAGAUAAGUGAGAGAAUUUCUGCAAUUAGUUGACAUCACACAUGAGUCUGCUGGCCAGCAAGUUCCAGGGCUAUUGCCCCUCAUUGGACCUUUGUCCACAAUAAAAUGCCCAUCCAUAAGACAAUAAUUCCUGAAGAAGUACCACCCUAUCAUUUUAAAAGUUUUCUAUGGGCAGAUUUUUCUGUGAUGGUCACUCAAAUUCAGGUUCUCCAUUCAUAUGGCCCAGAAUUGUCCCCUGCAGACAAUCCUAUGUUGCUUUCCCUAAAUUACGGAAUCCAUGGUAGUCAUUAAGCAUUUAGAAGACCAUGCAGUUCCCAAGUUCAAAGUCUUGAUCAGUGGCCAGGAAUUUAGCUCAGUGGUCCCUCUGCUUGCCUCGAAGGUGCAAGGACCCAAGUUUGAUCCCCUGUACCAAAAAAACCCCAAAAAACACCCCAAAGUCUUGAUCAUUGAAAUAUACAUCUUAUGAAGAAAAAUUUAAACUAGGAGAAAAAUGAUCCCACACCUAGAAAUGCAAUCCUUCAUAUUUUUAGUGCAUUUUCUUCACUUUUCCGUUAGUGUG
ensembl:lncRNA